rnacentral:rRNA from 1 species
UACGUAGGGGGCAAGCGUUAUCCGGAUUUACUGGGUGUAAAGGGAGCGUAGACGGUAAUGUAAGUCUGAUGUGAAAGCCCGGGGCUCAACCCCGGGACUGCAUUGGAAACUAUGUAACUAGAGUACCGGAGAGGUAAGCGGAAUUCCUAGUGUAGCGGUGAAAUGCGUAGAUAUUAGGAGGAACACCAGUGGCGAAGGCGGCUUACUGGACGGAAACUGACGUUGAGGCUCGAAAGCGUGGGGAGCAAACGGG